GGGCGUUAAGUUGCAGGGUAUAGACCCGAAACCCGGUGAUCUAGCCAUGGGCAGGUUGAAGGUUGGGUAACACUAACUGGAGGACCGAACCGACUAAUGUUGAAAAAUUAGCGGAUGACCUGUGGCUGGGGGUGAAAGGCCAAUCAAACCGGGAGAUAGCUGGUUCUCCCCGAAAGCUAUUUAGGUAGCGCCUCGUGAAUUCAUCUCCGGGGGUAGAGCACUGUUUCGGCUAGGGGGCCAUCCCGGCUUACCAACCCGAUGCAAACUGCGAAUACCGGAGAAUGUUAUCACGGGAGACACACGGCGGGUGCUAACGUCCGUCGUGAAGAGGGAAACAACCCAGACCGCCAGCUAAGGUCCCAAAGUCAUGGUUAAGUGGGAAACGAUGUGGGAAGGCCCAGACAGCCAGGAUGUUGGCUUAGAAGCAGCCAUCAUUUAAAGAAAGCGUAAUAGCUCACUGGUCGAGUCGGCCUGCGCGGAAGAUGUAACGGGGCUAAACCAUGCACCGAAGCUGCGGCAGCGAACGUAUCACUUAAAGCGAUUCAGCGGGUUACGAUUGACGGAGCGAAGCGACGUCAAAGCGUAUACAAAGUCGAGUCGGUUUAAGGAUACGUUCGUUGGGUAGGGGAGCGUUCUGUAAGCCUGCGAAGGUGGCCUGUGAGGGUUGCUGGAGGUAUCAGAAGUGCGAAUGCUGACAUAAGUAACGAUAAAGCGGGUGAAAAGCCCGCUCGCCGGAAGACCAAGGGUUCCUGUCCAACGUUAAUCGGGGCAGGGUGAGUCGACCCCUAAGGCGAGGCCGAAAGGCGUAGUCGAUGGGAAACGGGUUAAUAUUCCCGUACUUGGUGUUACUGCGAAGGGGGGACGGAGAAGGCUAUGUUGGCCGGGCGACGGUUGUCCCGGUUUAAGCGUGUAGGUGUGUGUUCCAGGUAAAUCCGGUUCACUUUAACACUGAGGCGUGAUGACGAGGCACUACGGUGCUGAAGCAACAAAUGCCCUGCUUCCAGGAAAAGCCUCUAAGCAUCAGGUAACAUCAAAUCGUACCCCAAACCGACACAGGUGGUCAGGUAGAGAAUACCAAGGCGCUUGAGAGAACUCGGGUGAAGGAACUAGGCAAAAUGGUGCCGUAACUUCGGGAGAAGGCACGCUGACACGUAGGUGAAGUGAUUUACUCAUGGAGCUGAAGUCAGUCGAAGAUACCAGCUGGCUGCAACUGUUUAUUAAAAACACAGCACUGUGCAAACACGAAAGUGGACGUAUACGGUGUGACGCCUGCCCGGUGCCGGAAGGUUAAUUGAUGGGGUCAGCGCAAGCGAAGCUCCUGAUCGAAGCCCCGGUAAACGGCGGCCGUAACUAUAACGGUCCUAAGGUAGCGAAAUUCCUUGUCGGGUAAGUUCCGACCUGCACGAAUGGCGUAAUGAUGGCCAGGCUGUCUCCACCCGAGACUCAGUGAAAUUGAACUCGCUGUGAAGAUGCAGUGUACCCGCGGCAAGACGGAAAGACCCCGUGAACCUUUACUAUAGCUUGACACUGAACAUUGAGCCUUGAUGUGUAGGAUAGGUGGGAGGCUUUGAAGUGUGGACGCCAGUCUGCAUGGAGCCGACCUUGAAAUACCACCCUUUAAUGUUUGAUGUUCUAACGUGGACCCGUAAUCCGGGUUGCGGACAGUGUCUGGUGGGUAGUUUGACUGGGGCGGUCUCCUCCUAAAGAGUAACGGAGGAGCACGAAGGUUGGCUAAUCCUGGUCGGACAUCAGGAGGUUAGUGCAAUGGCAUAAGCCAGCUUGACUGCGAGCGUGACGGCGCGAGCAGGUGCGAAAGCAGGUCAUAGUGAUCCGGUGGUUCUGAAUGGAAGGGCCAUCGCUCAACGGAUAAAAGGUACUCCGGGGAUAACAGGCUGAUACCGCCCAAGAGUUCAUAUCGACGGCGGUGUUUGGCACCUCGAUGUCGGCUCAUCACAUCCUGGGGCUGAAGUAGGUCCCAAGGGUAUGGCUGUUCGCCAUUUAAAGUGGUACGCGAGCUGGGUUUAGAACGUCGUGAGACAGUUCGGUCCCUAUCUGCCGUGGGCGCUGGAGAACUGAGGGGGGCUGCUCCUAGUACGAGAGGACCGGAGUGGACGCAUCACUGGUGUUCGGGUUGUCAUGCCAAUGGCACUGCCCGGUAGCUAAAUGCGGAAGAGAUAAGUGCUGAAAGCAUCUAAGCACGAAACUUGCCCCGAGAUGAGUUCUCCCUGAGACUUAGAGUCUCCUGAAGGAACGUUGAAGACGACGACGUUGAUAGGCCGGGUGUGUAAGCGCAGCGAUGCGUUGAGCUAACCGGUACUAAUGAACCGUGAGGCUUAACCUU
rnacentral:rRNA from 1 species